AACGAACGCUGGCGGCAUGCCUAACACAUGCAAGUCGAACGAAGGCUUUGGCCUUAGUGGCGCACGGGUGCGUAACGCGUGGGAACCUGCCCCUCGGUUCGGAAUAACAGUUAGAAAUGACUGCUAAUACCGGAUGAUGACUUCGGUCCAAAGAUUUAUCGCCGAGGGAUGGGCCCGCGUAGGAUUAGCUAGUUGGUGGGGUAAAGGCCUACCAAGGCGACGAUCCUUAGCUGGUCUGAGAGGAUGAUCAGCCACACUGGGACUGAGACACGGCCCAGACUCCUACGGGAGGCAGCAGUGGGGAAUAUUGGACAAUGGGCGAAAGCCUGAUCCAGCAAUGCCGCGUGAGUGAUGAAGGCCUUAGGGUUGUAAAGCUCUUUUACCAGGGAUGAUAAUGACAGUACCUGGAGAAUAAGCUCCGGCUAACUCCGUGCCAGCAGCCGGCGGUAAAGUAGACGUCU
rnacentral:rRNA from 1 species